CAAUAAUGGCAAAAAUUCAGCAACCAUCCAAAAAGAAAAAACCCAACAUCCUUUUUAACCAAUUCUUAUACUAAUAAUAAUAUCUCAGGGCAUAAUAGAAAGGCUGAAGAGAAAAAUCGAUAAAACUUGGGCCUCCUCAAUUACAGAUUUUCCAUUUUUAGGAAACAUUAUCAAAGAAAACUAGAAAAUGAUUAAGAUUUUCUUAUCACCACCGCAAUUACAGCCCAACAAAUCCGAAUAUAAAAAUACACACAACAGAAGGUUAUUUGCUAGCAAAUGAGAUUAUUAAUUUCUGUGUAGGUUUGUAUUGGGGUUAUGAAUCAUGAUGCACAGGUAUGGCCUUGUGAAUAAAUUAUGAGUUGAUCUGAAGGGUUUUAUGAAAAGGAACAUACCUCCGUCUUGGAGAGUUGAGACCCACGCCGAAGCUGAUCUUGGAGCUGCGGCCGAAGAGAGAGAGUGAGAGUGAGAGAGAGAGAGACCCACGCCGCCGUCUGUGUGUGUGUGUGUGUGUGUGUGAGAGAGAGAGAGAGAGAGAGAGAGAGAGAGAGAGAGAGAGAGAGAGCGAGAGAAAUAGAGCACGGUGAUGAGAGAGAGGUCGAGAGAGAGAGAGAGGGGGGGCUAUGUUGAAGACGGAGGGAGUUGGAACUUGGGACAGAUGGGAUACGGGUUGGUUCUUUAGCUGCGGUUUCGCCCGUAUAAUUCUUCAGACGACCCGCUUAAAUUGUAACCCGGCUUUUAUCGGGUGGAUCUGAUCGGGUCAAUCGGGUCAAUCGGUUUAUAAAUAUAUCUGCACACCCCUAGUGGUAGAUGAGGUAAGAUCUGAUCUUCUCUUUGUAUUGGUCUUUGGCUCUUCUCUCUUCAAGUUUGUUUUCUUUUUUCUUCCAUUUUUUCUCUUCGCUACGGACGGUUAAAACCCUAAGUUUUUUUUUUUCCUUCUUUCUUUCUAUUCUCUUCUCCCUCCUUUCUCCUUUGCGCUGUAGCCCACCUCGAGCCCUCUCUCCCUCUCUACAACAGAUGUUGCCGUAAGCAAGCUCUGUGUCAUGCCGAGUCACCCAGAUCUGCCAUUUCUCUUCUCAAUCUCCUCCACUGUGACGUAAAAGCAGAGGAUCUGGAUGAAUGAGUCUGUGGCUUUUUGUAUUCCUCGUUCGGUUCUAUCAUUUAUUUGGUUGUUUGGGUCCAAUUUUCAUUCUUGGGUUCGGGGUGUGUGCUUCCUGAUUCUUCUCCAUUGUUUUUGCUACUAUUGCGCCAUGGGUAUGGUUUUCUAUUGUCAUCGUCACAAUAUGUGUUCUUCAAUUUGCAUUUUGGAUUUUAUAUUUCUUAUUUUGCUCCUUCAGAUGCAUGAUUGAAGUCAAGUCCAAGUUUUCCAAAAUUUGCCUUCGAUUUCUCUCUUUUACUCCUCUAUUUUUUUAAUUCUGUUUAGAUUUAAAGAAACUUGUAGAUAUUAGGAUUUUAAGACUAAAGAUUUUAUCUUUAUUUUUCUCUCUCUCCAAGUCUUGCGCAAUGAGUCACUACAAUUCCAAUGUUUUCGAUGAGAAGGAUAAUCUUGUCGUAGUGAGUUUUACAUGGCCCACACAUACAGAUUUUUACUCACGUUUGUGUUCAUAUACGGUGGUUGGAUUUUUAUGUUUGUGGAAGUGGGGAUGUAAUGGUCCAUGCAUUCGUUAGAUUUUAUUGUUGGGUUGCUAUUCUCGAUAUAACUGUUAGAUCUGUUUUUGGUAUUACAUUUAUAUGGUGGGUUAUAUUUUUAGAAUUCUUUAAUCGCAAUGUGGCUCGUGUAGCUAUUUUUUAACCUGUAAUUUCCUUCUUCAAUAGUCUAACUUUGUUUUUACAAGUAAAUAAUUUAACUCUCUAUUUGGUUCCAGAGAAAUUUGAGAAAAUGAGAUGAAGCAUAGUUUUUGAAUCUUGUUAGUUAUGUUUUCUGAUAUAUGCUUUUUCUUUCUUUAUUAUUUUUAGAUUUGUUUCAACUUUUCAUAUGGCAAUAUGUUGUUUACUACUUAUGACUUUGUACUCAUCCACUUGACAUGUUUAAGAAUAUAUUAUAUUCUAUCCACCAACAUGUGUAUGAGAUGUUUGCUCUUGCCUAAGAAGGGCAAAGAUGGAAAGUUUACUUUUAUAAUAAGCAAAUUGAAAUGCGUGAAGUUAUUAGCAGAACAUAUGGGGAUUACAUGGAGUGGGCAUGGCCUGCUGAGAUGUUUAUACUCCCAUUAAUGGGAAUACCCUUGGGGAUGUUUCCAGUGGCCCACAAACGGUAAAAUAUUUUUUCACCUAAUUGUUAUAGAGUUUUUCAUGCUUCAUGUACUCUUUGCCAGUACUGUAUAUCGUGACUUUUUUUUUCCCUAUUUCUUCCUCUUGAUAUGACCCAUAGAUUGUGAAAUAAGAUUUGACUGCUUAUGAGAAAGGAUCAGGCCAAUCAAACUAUGGUGGAGGUGCAUUUAUAUGCCAAUAAACUUGCCAUUUUCCUUUCCUUGAUACCUUUACUUUAGCAUAAGCCUUUUUUUUUUCUUCUUCUUCUUUUGGCCUCAAGCAAUGCAGAAGAGGCAUCUUCGGUGCAAAUCAUUUUCAUAGGGGCAGCAUUGCUCAUUGUUUUUUGAUUAUUUUGUUGUGUUUGGUGUAGAGGCAUCGGUGCAUUGAUUAUUGGAUUGAUGUGUUCCCAUUAAUAAAGAACUGGAAAUGUUGAUUUUAAUGUUCUAAGAAAUAUGUUUCUAUUGUUUGAAUUGAUUCAUUGAAGUUUUUAUAUCCAUGUCAUAAAAUUGAAUUGUGAGCUGUUGCGACUUGUAAAAAAUAUCAGACUAACCUAAACAUGAUCUUUUAUAAACUUCAAAGUUGUUAUAGACCGAAGCUCUUUAUUCAUGAGCACCAAAGAUGUUAGCUGUUGUUGAUGUACUUUAUUUGUGAAGACUUAGAGGGUAUCUCAACUCCCAUCCACAACCAUGGCCAAAAAGUUGGCCAGGUUCAAUGCCCUUGCCACAUCCACAGUCCUUCAACGCAACAGGAUCUUGUUGAUUAGUUUAGGAUGGCUUUAUUUUCAUGUGCUUGUGUUGUUUUCCUUUUCUUUUUUUGUGCUUUUGAGCCAUACACGCAUAGUGCCCAAACAACAUUUGAUGGAUGUUUUAUUCUCUGGAGUUUAGGGUUGGUUUUGGUGCUGGGCUUUUGGAUCUCCAUGAUAUGGAUGAUACAAAGCUUCUGUCUGAGUGAAUCAAGGAGGAUUUCACCUAGAGAAAUGGUGGAGGAAAAGCUGCAACAACAGUUGCCAAUAGCCUCAACAAGGACUUUGGGCCCAAAUUGAAGGAGCAAGUGCAAUAUUGUGUACAUCAUCCAAAGAUCAGCAAGCUGGCUAAAGUGAGAGCUUAGGUUUUGGAAGUCAAAAGAGUUAUGAAGGAAAAUAUAGAGAAGGUUCUCAACCAUGAAGAAAAGAUUGAGCUUUCACUAAAUAAAACAAAGAACCUUCAUUCUCAGUAAAGACUUUUGAUUCCAAGUUGAAAAUUCAGAGGAAGUCUUUCAAUGGUGGGAAUUUGUAGAGAUCCAAGAACUUUGCUUGCAAGGCACUCCCAGAGAGUUUUGCUAUUCAGGAUUUUGAGUUGGACAAGAUCUAUGGUGUUGGUUCCUAUUCCAAGGCUCUUGAGACAACAUGGCCUAUUGGAAUUGGUGGAGCUUCUCACCUAUACUUUUCGAAGCUUAGCAUGUGUGUUGGGGAGAGAGGGGAUGCAGAGAGGAUUUAAGGAUUAUCAAGAUGAGAACCAUGAUGCUGCAGCUCUGUUUAGGAAGACACAUUGCCUAUUCCAUUUAAUUACUUCCUAGAGGGCCCAUUUACCAUAUCUCCAAAAGUAUUGCAAUAGAAACUUCAGAAAAGGAAUGUGUCAUCCACCUUGGUGUAGAAGUCGAUCAGCUUCAACAACAACGCCAUAAGAGAUUCAACGUCCUGUCCAUCAGCUGUCAAUGGAACACAUUUCUCACCACCUUAGUGUAUUUGAAUGAAUGCUUACUGAUAUCAAGAUUUAUCAAUCUAUCCAUUACACUGUCUAUCAAUCGGUUUUGCAUCCUCUUUCCAUCCUAUUGUUCAUUCUGGAGUGACAUGUAACCUAAUUGGAUUCAAUUUGUUAUCAGCUGCAAGUUUAUACUAUUAUUACCUAUUGCACGUAAUAA